GAGUUUGAUCGUGGCUCAGAUUGAACGCUGGCGGCAGGCCUAACACAUGCAAGUCGAGCGGUAACAGGGAUAGCUUGCUAUCUGCUGACGAGCGGCGGACGGGUGCGUAACACGUAGGAAUCUACCCAGUAGCGGGGGAUAGCCCGGAGAAAUCCGGAUUAAUACCGCAUACGCCCUACGGGGGAAGCAGGGGAUUCUUUCUUUGGAGAGAACCUUGCACUAUUGGAUGAGCCUGCGUCGGAUUAGCUAGUUGGUGGG
rnacentral:rRNA from 1 species